GACGUAGGGCGCGAGCGUUUGUCCGGAUUUAUUGGGCGUAAAGAGCUCGUAGGCGGUUUGUCGCGUCUGCUGUGAAAACUGGAGGCUCAACCUCCAGCCUGCAGUGGGUACGGGCAGACUAGAGUGCGGUAGGGGAGAUUGGAAUUCCUGGUGUAGCGGUGGAAUGCGCAGAUAUCAGGAGGAACACCGAUGGCAGGAGG
rnacentral:rRNA from 1 species